CAAAAUGCUGACACAAGAGGAAGUGACGCUGCAAUGUCUGCAGUAAGUCAUCGCUAACACAUUUAGAUAGAAAGACACAGAUAGAAAGACACAGUUAGAUAGAAAGACACAGUUAGAUAGAAAGACACAGUUAGAUAGAAAGACACAGUUAGAUAGAAAGGCACAGUUAGAUAGAAAGACAGAUAGAAAGACACAGUUAGAAAGACACAGUUAGAUAGAAAGGCACAGUUAGAUAGAAAGACAGAUAGAAAGACACAGUUAGAAAGACACAGUUAGAUAGAAAGGCACAGUUAGAUAGAAAGACAGAUAGAAAGACACAAUUAGAUAGAAAGACAGAUAGAAAGACACAAUUAGAUAGAAAGGUACAGUUAGAUAGAAAGGUACACUUAGAUAGAACGACACAGUUAGAUAGAAAGACACACUUAGAAAGAAAGACACAGUUAGAUAGAAAGACAGAUAGAAAGACACAGUUAGAUAGAAAAGCACAGUUAGAUAGAAAGACAGAUAGAAAGACACAAUUAGAUAGAAAGACAGAUAGAAAGACACAAUUAGAUAGAACGACACAGUUAGAUAGAACGACACACUUAGAAAGAAAGACACAGUUAGAUAGAAAGACACACUUUGGUAGAAAGACACGAAAGUCAUAACCUAAUUACGAACAUAAGGUUCAACCUCAUCCCCCAUUAGUGUUCUCUCCAUAUGUUCACAAAUCUUAAAAUCUGACAACUCCCCUGACCAUGGAACUAUACUAAUGGAACACCAGCUUCGAGAUUUUAUGAUCAGAGUGCCGUCGCGCAUCUUUUUUCGCGCACCAUACCAAUUUGAAAAAUCGAUGAGGAUGCCAAAGAAGAAAUUUACUCCGAGAGCCACUUGGAUUGACCUUCAUUGAGAGUAAAACUUCCCCACACUAUAUUUUAUUAGAUCUGUAAAAACUUUAUCCAUUUUCUGACUAUCUGAUAAAAUAGAUACAAUUUCCCUGAAUAAUGGAUCGUCACAAAAGAUUUUUUUUUAAGGCCACUUCAUUAAAAUAGGUAUUUCCAGUACUUCCUCAUUUGGGUAUUUUACACAAAAUCUGGAUUUUUUUUAUGUACAUUCAUUUUUAUCAUCUGUCCCGCGCAACCAAACCAUCCACUUUUCCCGGUCACCAAUGUUCUUAACAAGAUAUCAAGAGAGAGAGGCUGGUCCAUUAUUUGCGUAGUCCAGCCAGCUUUUUUUUUUUUUGACAACCUUUUUUCGUUCUCUCUCAUGAAGGAUAUGUUUUGAAAAUUAGUCUUACAAAAUACAAUUCCAAACCAACUCAUGCAGUUAUCGUCUUUUCACAGUAUUGAGGAGUCAUCCUUUUUGCUAGCCAGAGUGUUAAUUGGCAAAAGUGAAAAAUUCAUUUUCUUUAAUUUUUUAAAGUAAAUAUUCAUAACUAUAUCUUUUAUAUAAUAAUAUAUUUUUAAAAUAAUAAUCUUUUAUAUAGACAUGCUUUAAUAGAUCUAAUAAAUGAUUAACUCGGACCUACCAAUAUGGGUAUAUAAAUACUUAAAUCUGGGUAUUUAAAAUUUCGAAUGCGAAUUUUAAAAAAACCGGACUUAUAUUGAUCUAGAUCUCUUGUAUAAUAUCUAGAAUAAUAUAGAUCUACAACACCUAGUCCUAGACUAAAGUUAAAGACUAAGGUCUAGAUUUAUUUAACGUUUAAAAAAAAAUCAAUAGAUCUAAUAUAGACAGUCAUGAGAUCCACUCUAUUUUAUCUAGAUCUAGACCAUACAUGAGAUCAAUAAUUGUCAAUAUGAAUAUUUAUAGAUCUAGUCCUAGAUUCUAGAUCUAUCGAUCAUCUAUGAUCUAUAGUCUGUCUAUAGCUAUACUUACUAUUAUAGGCCUACACUUUUACAGUAUAUGAGUAUACUCAUACGAGUCAUACUGGCUAUACUAUAGUAUAGACACUAUAGUUAGUAUAGUUAAUACUUUUUAAUAGUAGAUCUAUAAUCUAUCAAUUCUAUCUAAAUUAUUCUAAAUCUAGACUUCACUUUCACAUCACAUUCAGUCAUUCACACGAUUAUUGAUACAGACAGUGAAUGAAACGAAUGCAGUGGUUAUACUGAUUAUACUUAAAGUGACGAUACUACUUAUAGAUCUACCAGUUGAUAAACAUCAUCAUCAUAGAUAAUAAUCUACAUCUAUAAUCAUAGUGCCCUUUAUUUAGUUAAUUUAGUCAAUAUAGCCAAGUCAAGGUAGUGGAACGUAAACUCGAAGGUUUAAUACAAUAUGUUCUUAACAAGUAGAACCAUGGCAACCAGUUCUGAUGAUGUACCAGAAUGGCUCAAGGAUCAUACUUAUACUACUUCUACUCUCUGGGCAUCCAUUCAAUAUUUAAUUUAUGUUUGGAAAUGCAAGAAAAAGGCAUGCAUUCCUGAAAAGUCAAUGAUUGGUUGCACCUCUUAAAGAUAACUUUCUGUUAUGAGAAAAGAUGAGAUUCUUGGACUCCUGCAUAGCACCACCAGAAAGGAAAAUCCCAUCAUGUUGCAAAAUAAAAGUCUUGGACCAAUUUUAAUUUAAGAUAUAUAUAUUAUGCUGUAAGAUACAUAUUUAUGUAUAUCCUGUCAUUCAGCCAACAGGUUUGGAUUUAGUAUUUCUUUAAAUCUGUGUGAUAUUGUACUUGAAAACUAUUAAUCUGAGCCCCAUUAAAACAAGAGGGAGUGCAGUGGAUGAGUGGUAAGGGAAAUUUUACUUUUUUAAAAUUAAAAUAAGAAUCUAACAAAAGUAAACAUAUAAAAUAUGGUGCAUUCUCCUUAAAACUAAAAUCUGGUGCAAAGGUUUAAAAUGUUGGCAAAAAAAAAGCAACAUCAAUUGAAUAUUCUUAAUUCCCUUUGCAAAACUUACUGAGAAGAACAUGCAUGUUGUUCCCUCAUAAGUUUCUUGACAGAGGAAAUCUUGUUUAUAUUAGAUUUGAAGUAAGCAAAUUAAGAAAAAAAUUAUAAUCAUUAUUUCAAAUGGUUGUAUCUAAACCUUAUGAAUUAUUUUUCAGUUAUAAGUAUAUUGAAAUGAAUGGAUAAUCAUGAAAUUGUUAAAUAAUUGCUGCUAUCAUUCCAUUGACUAAAGAACCAUAAUUUUUUUUAAAAUUAAUUUCAAAAUUAAUUAAUUAAUUAAUUUUCAAGCAGAGUUCACAUAGAUCUUGAGUGAAAUUUUUCUUUUUUUUGACUAAUGCUUCAAUUUUAUUGUAUCAUUAGUUUUUUAUUUUUAUUACCCAGAAUAUUUUAAAAAUGAGUACACUAUUUUCAUGUAAUAAUGUAACUUGGUAUUCACACAUCAAAAUACGCUAUAAUCUUUAGGCCAUAU